AGUGAACGCUGGCGGUAGGCCUAACACAUGCAAGUCGAACGGCAGCACAGUAAGAGCUUGCUCUUACGGGUGGCGAGUGGCGGACGGGUGAGGAAUACAUCGGAAUCUACUUUUUCGUGGGGGAUAACGUAGGGAAACUUACGCUAAUACCGCAUACGACCUACGAGUGAAAGCAGGGGAUCUUCGGACCUUGCGCGAUUGAAUGAGCCGAUGUCGGAUUAGCUAGUUGGCGGGGUAAAGGCCCACCAAGGCGACGAUCCGUAGCUGGUCUGAGAGGAUGAUCAGCCACACUGGAACUGAGACACGGUCCAGACUCCUACGGGAGGCAGCAGUGGGGAAUAUUGGACAAUGGGCGCAAGCCUGAUCCAGCCAUACCGCGUGGGUGAAGAAGGCCUUCGGGUUGUAAAGCCCUUUUGUUGGGAAAGAAAGGCAGCAGGUUAAUACCCCGCUGUUCUGACGGUACCCAAAGAAUAAGCACCGGCUAACUUCGUG
rnacentral:rRNA from 1 species